CCUACGGGUGGCAGCAGUGAGGAAUAUUGGUCAAUGGACGCAAGUCUGAACCAGCCAUGCCGCGUGCAGGAUGACGGCCCUAUGAGUUGUAAACUUCUUUUGUAUGGGAGUAAAGUCCGGUAUGUGUAUUGUGUUGUAAGUACCGUAUGAAUAAGGAUCGGCUAACUCCGUGCCAGCAGCCGCGGUAAUACGGAGGAUCCGAGCGUUAUCCGGAUUUAUUGGGUUUAAAGGGUGCGUAGGCGGUUGCUUAAGUUAGUGGUGAAAGGUUGCGGCUCAACCCCGAAAUUGCCUUUGAUACUGGUUGACUUGAGAGUAGUAGCGGUAGGCGGAAUGUAUGGUGUAGCGGUGAAAUGCUUAGAUAUCAUGCAGAACACCGAUUGCGAAGGCAGCUUACCAGACUAUAACUGACGCUGAGGCUCGAAAGCGUGGGUAGCAAACAGGAUUAGAUACCCGUGUAGUC
rnacentral:rRNA from 1 species